AUUGAACGCUGGCGGCAGGCCUAACACAUGCAAGUCGAACGGUAACAGGAAGAAGCUUGCUUCUUUGCUGACGAGUGGCGGACGGGUGAGUAAUGUCUGGGAAACUGCCUGAUGGAGGGGGAUAACUACUGGAAACGGUAGCUAAUACCGCAUAACGUCGCAAGACCAAAAAGGGGGACCUUCGGGCCUCUUGCCAUCGGAUGUGCCCAGAUGGGAUUAGCUAGUAGGUGGGGUAACGGCUCACCUAGGCGACGAUCCCUAGCUGGUCUGAGAGGAUGACCAGCCACACUGGAACUGAGACACGGGCCAGACUCCUACGGGAGGCAGCAGUGGGGAAUAUUGCACAAUGGGCGCAAGCCUGAUGCAGCCAUGCCGCGUGUAUGAAGAAGGCCUUCGGGUUGUAAAGUACUUUCAGCGGGGAGGAAGGGAGUAAAGUUAAUACCUUUGCUCAUGGACGUUACCCGCAGAAGAAGCACCGGCUAACUCCGU
rnacentral:rRNA from 1 species